AAAAACAAAACGGUACUGAGAAAAAAUCUUAAAAGUUCCAACAGACGAAGAAAUUGAUGAUUAAGAUUGAAACAAAUUCAUAAAACACAUUUAAACAUUACAAGUCGUUAUUGUUGGCAUCUGUUUUUGUAGGAUCAAUGGAAGUAUUUUCUUAGCGCUAACAGUAUUGAAGACUUGCUCGUUUUGAGAAUCUAGUCUUAAUUUCACAUGUUAAGAUAGUCGGCAAGAUAAAUUCGUUACAUAGUGCGCUAGUGACGUAAUACGGUAUAUAUGGGGUCAGUAAAUUCCAUAUGGGGAUUCGAGCUUCGCUCUCACCCCAUAAGUAUUCGCUCUCACCCCAUAUGGAAUUUACUGACCCCA
rnacentral:lncRNA from 1 species